rnacentral:lncRNA from 1 species
GUCGUCGUUUUAAAUAAAAUGUUCGCAGUAAUAUAUCGAUUUGGAUCCAGACCCGAUCCAACAUCCGACCCCAACCCAGCUUAUUUAAUUUUGUUGGUAAAACUUAUUGUUUUUAUUUAUCAAUAAUACUAUUUACUUUUUAAAGGGCGUUUAUUUUAUAUGAUUAAUAAAAUAGAUAUUAAUUGAGUAUUUUUAUCCUCAACAAUAAGAUUAC